AUACCUCAAGAGAGAUAUGCACCUGACCAGUCUCAGUCCCUACUGCAAUUUCACAGAAAAUAAGUUAUGAAGGUCUCUCUCCAGUAACAAGCCAGCAUCCAGAUGCCUUUCUGGAGAAGAUAAUAGCAGUUCCAAAGCAACAGACACCACAGGAUUUAUUUCCACAUGUUUUAGAAGAUUGCCAGAGAACCUGCAUGACUGUGAUUGACACAGGUAACAGUGUAAAAGAACAAUCCUGUAAUAAUGAUACAGAUCUUUCAUUGGCAACCCUAGGAAAUAUUUUCACAGAACCACUAGUGCUCACUGAACAGAGCAUAGAGACUGCUGAACUUGAAGUCAGUGAUUUGUUGAGACCUCUCAUUGAUUCUGAGAGUCCUAAAACGAUAAACCAACUGCAUGACGUAUUAGACUAUCAGGGUCAUGUCUUUUCCAGUGAUAUAUCAGCAGAUGAGAACAGUGAUGCCCUUCCAGUAGAGCUUGUGACAGCUCUGAAUUCCUUGUCAGGAUCUGUAAUACAGUCUGACAGUCCUGUAGUGCCAAGCAAGAGCCAGCAUACCACUGAGGAAGAGCAGUUAAAUUCAGAAUCCAGUACUCCCCAGCAAGAUGAUGACUGUACACAAAUAACAAACGUGUUUGAGCCUCAGCUUCCUACAAUUCACGAAGAAGAAAUAAAAGCCUUAACAGGAUCUAACUUGCAGAGGACAACAAAUGAGCAAGACUAGAAGCCUAUUUUGUAAAUCCUUGUUGCCCCAUAUCACUUUCAAGAAUAAAUAGGAGGAAUAUUUUUGGUGAGACCUUACU
rnacentral:lncRNA from 1 species